CCUCCUAUGUCAUUAAUAUUGAUGCUUUGGUAACGCAGAAGUCCCACAUCUAGCCACAACUCAGAGUGAAGAGAGGGUUGUGUGGUCUCUCAGCAAGCACAAAGGCAGCUCACCCUGGAAAUGGAAGGUUUUCUGAUCAACAGUUAUUGUGAAGGUGCUGUCGUCCUCAUCAUCUAUACCAAUCACAGCUCCCUGUGAAACAAAGAGCAAAAAUUCUGAUAAGGCAGAGCAGUGACAUCAGCAGCAUGCAGUCUAUUGCUACACGACCAGAAUGCAAAAUUCAUGAACAAAUUUUUGCAAGGCUUCCAGAGUCAAUACUUGAAAAUUAAAUGAGGAAUUUACAAAA